rnacentral:rRNA from 1 species
UACGUAGGGGGCAAGCGUUGUCCGGAAUCAUUGGGCGUAAAGAGCGUGUAGGCGGCUCGAUAAGUCCGCUGUGAAAGUCCAGGGCUCAACCCUGGAAGGCCGGUGGAAACUGUCGGGCUAGAGUCCGGAAGAGGCGAGUGGAAUUCCCGGUGUAGCGGUGAAAUGCGCAGAUAUCGGGAAGAACACCCGUGGCGAAGGCGGCUCUCUGGGACGGUACUGACGCUGAGACGCGAAAGCGUGGGGAGCGAACAGG